UGAGAAAAUUAGCGUGCUCAACGCAGGCGUAACUGCUUGGUAUACUGUAGCAUGGAAUAAUGAGAAAGGACCUCGGUUCUGUUUCGUUGGUUUCCGGAAGCUGAGGUAAUGAUUGAUAGGGACAAACGGGGGCAUUCGUAUUGUGGUGUUAGAGGUGAAAUUCUGUGAUCACCGCAAGACGAACAACUGCGAAAGCAUUUGCCAAGAAUGUUUUCAUUAAUCAAGAACGAAAGUUAGAGUUUCGAAGACGAUUAGAUACCGUCCUCGUUCUAACUAUAAACUAUGCCAACUGGGCAUCUGCGCGAUUGCAUCUAUAGCAUCGGCAGGCACCCUACGGGACACCAAAGUCAACAGGUUCCGGGGGGAGUAUGGUUGCAAAAUCGAAACUUAAAGGAAUUGACGGAGGGGCACACCAGAAGUGGAGCCUGCGGCUCAAUUUGACUCAACGCACGAAAACUUACUCGGUCCGAACACCGUGAGGAUUGACAGGUUGAAAGCUCUUUCUUGAUUCGGUGGGUGGUGGUGCAUGGCCGUUCGUAGUUGGUGGAGUGAUUUGUCUGGUUUAUUCCGAUAACGAACGAGACUCUAGCCU
rnacentral:rRNA from 1 species